CCUAGAGAUAGGGCUUCUCCUUCGGGAGCAGAGUGACAGGUGGUGCAUGGUUGUCGUCAGCUCGUGUCGUGAGAUGUUGGGUUAAGUCCCGCAACGAGCGCAACCCUUGAUCUUAGUUGCCAUCAUUAAGUUGGGCACUCUAAGGUGACUGCCGGUGACAAACCGGAGGAAGGUGGGGAUGACGUCAAAUCAUCAUGCCCCUUAUGACCUGGGCUACACACGUGCUACAAUGGACGGUACAAAGAGCUGCAAGACCGCGAGGUGGAGCUAAUCUCAUAAAACCGUUCUCAGUUCGGAUUGUAGGCUGCAACUCGCCUACAUGAAGCUGGAAUCGCUAGUAAUCGCGGAUCAGCAUGCCGCGGUGA
rnacentral:rRNA from 1 species